rnacentral:misc_RNA from 1 species
ACAAGAAACAAUUUCCCAUGUGUGAUUCUCUUGGAGAGCUUGAAGUUCCUCCUGCAUGGCUUUCUGCCAACACUCAUGCUUGGAAGCUUGUGAGUAACAUGAUGGAACAGAAAUAUCAGACAAAAUAGUAGAAAAACCAUACCAGUUAGGAGGACGAGAUACUCUGGUAGAUCGGCGAAGGAUAGGCUCGGGAGGAGCAAGCUCAGAAGAAAUCUUGGAGGUAGGCUCAGAAGCAGGUGCAGGU